rnacentral:rRNA from 1 species
CAUAUCGACGGCGGUGUUUGGCACCUCGAUGUCGGCUCAUCACAUCCUGGGGCUGAAGUAGGUCCCAAGGGUAUGGCUGUUCGCCAUUUAAAGUGGUACGCGAGCUGGGUUUAGAACGUCGUGAGACAGUUCGGUCCCUAUCUGCCGUGGGCGCUGGAGAAUUGAGGGGGGCUGCUCCUAGUACGAGAGGACCGGAGUGGACGCAUCACUGGUGUUCGGGUUGUCAUGCCAAUGGCACUGCCCGGUAGCUAAAUGCGGAAGAGAUAAGUGCUGAAAGCAUCUAAGCACGAAACUUGCCCCGAGAUGAGUUCUCCCUGAGACUUUAAGUCUCCUGAAGGAACGUUAAAGACGAUGACGUUGAUAGGCCGGGUGUGUAAGCGCAGCGAUGCGUUGAGCUAACCGGUACUAAUGAACCGUGAGGCUUAACCUU